rnacentral:tRNA from 1 species
UGGUGAGUAGCCAACUGGUAAGGCAUCGGUUUUUGGUACCGUCAGAUGUAGGUUCGAAUCCUACCUCACCAGCCA